rnacentral:rRNA from 1 species
UACGGAGGAGGCAAGCGUUAUCCGGAAUUAUUGGGCGUAAAGCGUCCGCAGGUGGCACUUCGAGUCUGUCGUCAAAGACUGGGGGCUUAACCCUGGAAAGGCGGUGGAAACUGAAGCGCUAGAGUGCGGUAGGGGUAGAGGGAAUUCCCGGUGUAGCGGUGAAAUGCGUAGAGAUCGGGAAGAACAUCGGUGGCGAAAGCGCUCUACUGGACCGCAACUGACACUCAGGGACGAAAGCUAGGGGAGCGAAUGGG